UGGGGAAUAUUGCGCAAUGGGCGAAAGCCUGACGCAGCGACGCUGCGUGAGGGAUGAAGGCUUUCGGAUCGUAAACCUCUGUCAGAAGGGAAGAAACCGCACUGUGCUAAUCAGCAGUGCCUUGACGGUACCUUCAAAGGAAGCACCGGCUAACUCCGUGCCAGCAGCCGCGGUAAUACGGAGGGUGCAAGCGUUAAUCGGAAUUACUGGGCGUAAAGCGCACGUAGGCUGCUUUGUAAGUCAGGGGUGAAAUCCCACGGCUCAACCGUGGAACUGCCUUUGAUACUGCUUAGCUUGAAUCCGGGAGAGGGUGGCGGAAGUCCAGGUGUAGGAGUGAAAUCCGUAGAUAUCUGGAGGAACAUCAGUGGCGAAGGCGGCCACCUGGACCGGUAUUGACGCUGAGGUGCGAAAGCGUGGGGAGCAAACAGG
rnacentral:rRNA from 1 species